GUCCACGCCGUAAACGAUGAGUGCUAGAUGUCGUGGGUAUUGACCCCCGCGGCGUCGUAGCUAACGCGUUAAGCACUCCGCCUGGGGAGUACGGCCGCAAGGCUAAAACUCAAAGGAAUUGACGGGGGCCCCGCACAAGCGGUGGAGCAUGUGGUUCAAUUCGACGCAACGCGCAGAACCUUACCUGGGUUAAAUCCACCAGAACCUUGCAGAGAUGUAGGGGUGCCCUUCGGGGAAUUGGUGAGAAGGUGCUGCAUGGCUGUCGU
rnacentral:rRNA from 1 species